AGUGGCGGACGGGUGAGUAACGCGUGGGAGCGUGCCCUUUGGUUCGGAACAACACAGGGAAACUUGUGCUAAUACCGGAUGAGCCCUUCGGGGGAAAGAUUUAUCGCCAUUGGAGCGGCCCGCGUUGGAUUAGGUAGUUGGUGGGGUAAAGGCCCACCAAGCCGACGAUCCAUAGCUGGUCUGAGAGGAUGAUCAGCCACACUGGGACUGAGACACGGCCCAGACUCCUACGGGAGGCAGCAGUGGGGAAUCUUGCGCAAUGGGCGAAAGCCUGACGCAGCCAUGCCGCGUGAAUGAUGAAGGUCUUAGGAUUGUAAAAUUCUUUCACCGGGGCAAGAUAAUGACGGUACCCGGAGAAGAAGCCCCGGCUAACUUCGUGCCAGCAGCCGCGGUAAUACGAAGGGGGCUAGCGUUGCUCGGAAUUACUGGGCGUAAAGGGCGCGUAGGCGGACAGUUUAGUCAGAGGUAAAAGCCCAGGGCUCAACCUUGGAACUGCCUUUGAUACUGGCUGUCUUG
rnacentral:rRNA from 1 species